GACGAACGCUGGCGGCGUGCUUAACACAUGCAAGUCGAACGAGACGAUUGAAAGCUUGCUUUUGAAAGUCGAGCGGCAAACGGGUGAGUAACGCGUAGACAACCUGCCUUUGAGAUGGGGACAACAGUUCGAAAGGACUGCUAAUACCGAAUGUUGUAUAUUUUCCACAUGGAAGAUAUAUUAAAGAUGGCCUCUAUUUAUAAGCUAUCGCUCAAAGAUGGGUCUGCGUCUGAUUAGCUGGUUGGUGGGGUAACGGCCUACCAAGGCGACGAUCAGUAGGCGGUCUGAGAGGAUGAACGGCCACAUUGGGACUGAGACACGGCCCAGACUCCUACGGGAGGCAGCAGUGGGGAAUCUUCCACAAUGGACGAAAGUCUGAUGGAGCAACGCCGCGUGGGUGAAGAAGGGUUUCGGCUCGUAAAGCUCUGUUGUCGGGGACGAAUGUGCAGUAUUUGAAUAAAGUACUGCAAUGACGGUACCUGACGAGGAAGCCACGGCUAACUACGUGCCAGCAGCCGCAGUAA
rnacentral:rRNA from 1 species